GUUGUCAAUGGGAGUGGAUGAAGUGUGGGCGGAUAAGAUUGAUAACUUUAUCAUA
rnacentral:sRNA from 1 species